rnacentral:rRNA from 1 species
GUGGGGAAUAUUGGGCAAUGGGGGAAACCCUGACCCAGCAACGCCGCGUGAAGGAAGAAGGCUUUCGGGUUGUAAACUUCUUUUAUGAGGGACGAAAAAAAUGACGGUACCUCAUGAAUAAGCCACGGCUAACUACGUGCCAGCAGCCGCGGUAAUACGUAGGUGGCAAGCGUUGUCCGGAUUUACUGGGUGUAAAGGGCGCGUAGGCGGGAAGGCAAGUCAGAUGUGAAAUCCCCAGGCUUAACCUGGGAACUGCAUUUGAAACUGUUUUUCUUGAGUGAUGGAGAGGCAAGUGGAAUUCCUAGUGUAGCGGUGAAAUGCGUAGAUAUUAGGAGGAACACCAGUGGCGAAGGCGGCUUCCUGGCACAAUACUGACGCUCAUGUGCGAAAGCUAGGGCAGCGAACGGGAUUAGAAACCCCUGUAGUCC